CUCUGCUUCGUCUGUGGCGGUUUGUGGGCUACCAUCACCUGCGCAGAGCCGGGAUGUGAGAGGAGCUUCCAUCUCCCCUGCGCCUAUGAGGGUCAAUGUGUCACCCAAUACUUUGGAGAGUUCAGGUAAGGGCUGCCAGGUGUGUCCUGUGGGCCUCCAACCCUGCUGUCAGCACCAGCCAAAGCAGCGAGGAACGCGCUGUGACACCUCCCAGCAGCCUGACAGAGCCAGAGCCAAGGCCUGGGGCUCCUUCCCGUUCCUCUGCCCUCCUCGCAGCCCUUCUCACCUCGCCCAUCCCUUCCAUCUUCCCCCAGGUCCUUCUGCAGGGAGCACAGCCCACAGCAGGCAGUGCAGGCAGCACCGGAGCCGGACACGACCUGCGUCAUCUGCAUGGAGCCUGUAGGUGACAGCAGGUCGUACACCACCAUGGUGUGCCCAGCCUGCCAACACGCCUGGUUCCACCGGGCCUGCAUCCAGAGAAUGGCCCUGAGCUCUGGGCUUCUCAGCUUCCAGUGCCCCCACUGCAGAGACAGAGAGACGUUUCUUCGAGACUUGCUGACUGUGGGGAUCCAUAUCCCAGACAGGUUGGUGUCUUUCAUCCAGCUCUUGAGAUGUGAGGGCACAAGAGCUGUGCCUGCCCAAGGACUGCCCCGCAAGGCCUGGCCCUUGGCAGCCAUUAACAUGGGCCUCAGUGUCAUUGGGAAGCUGGAAGCAGGGAUAAGGUGGAUGGGGAUGGAUUUCAUGGGUUAGUUUUAGUUCUGGGUCAGUGAGUGCUCAUCACAUUCCCUCCCUUCUCUGGCAGUAUUGCAGAAUGGGAGGACAACAACGCCUAUGAAGCACUGGCAGUUUGGUAUCGACGGUGCCAUGCCAGCAACUGCCUUUACCCCCAUGGCAGAUUGCGGUCAGGAGAGGGGCCCUGGGAGCUGCUCCUCUGCAGCUCCUGUGCUGCACGAGGCACACACCGCCGCUGCUCCUACCUGAGUGAUAGCAGAACCGAAUGGGAGUGCAACGCCUGUGCUGGAGAGGGCACCGCCUCCAGCACCAGCUCAGGUCUUGCUGGCCUCGGCACCACCAGCCAGCAGGGACUGCAGCUAUCUCAAACCUCUGUGACACCAGAGAGCAGCAGCUCCGGCACCACCAGUGAGCACGGACUGCCGCCACCCCAAGGCUCCACAGCACCAGAGAGCAGCAGCUCUACAACCACCAGCCAGGCACCAUCGGAGCCAGCUAACCGUUCCCGUGUGCCUGAGAGCAGCGGCCUGUCCAGCCAUCACAGGACAGAGUGCCAUGGACGCUGUGAGACAACCCAUAAUGCUGCUCCAAUUGCUGAGAGCAGCACCUCAUACUCUGCCAUCCAGGGGACAUCACGGUCCUCGAGGCGCUGCCGUGCACUGGAAUACAUCUUCAGUAGCAGGCUGAGAGAGCAGGCCCGGACAAGAAGCCGCUCUCCGUUGCGGCACCAGGCCCCAGAAUCUCCGAGCCAGCCCCAGAGACACCUUGGGAGCAGGCAGACAACAAGCCCAGGUGCUCAGAGAUGCAGCUACACCGCACCAGCAGCACCGGGUUCCUGUGUGCCUGAGAGCAGCGGUCUGUCCAGCCAUCACAGGACAGAGUCCCAAGGACGCUGGGAGACAAGCCAUAAUGCUGCUCCAAUUGCUGCGAGCAGCACCUCAGACUCUGCCAUCCAGGGGACAUCACGGUCCUCGAGGCGCUGCCGUGCACUGGAAUACAUCUUUCAGUAG
ensembl:lncRNA